rnacentral:ncRNA from 1 species
UUCUUAUCAAGAGAAGCGGAGGGACUGGCCCUGUGAAGCUUCAGCAACCAGCCGGUAUCGGCCAGGUGCUAAAUCCAGCGAAUUGGAUUCAAUUCGGAAGAUAAGAA